UUUUUUUGCCGAUUCCGAUACUUUGAAAAUGACGUGAUCGGACCGAUCGGGACAUCUCUAGUUUGAACUGCUAAUUUAUAACAGCAGACUUCCAAAGAAUGAUGGUCUUGUGUGAUUUAUGGUGUACCUGACUUCAAAGUGUGAGUAUGUGACAGGAACCUAAGCAGCCAGGUCAUCCGUGAAGGAUCCCUCAGGGACAAGAUACGGACGGACGGAUGGAUGAACAAGAGAUGAGCGGAUUAAACAAGAGAGAGGACGGUCUGUCAAAACAAUGGAAGCAGGCUGAGGGUUACCUCACGGGACCCCCGGCCGCUCUCCUCCCACCUCCAGCUGGAGGUGAAAGGUGGCCGAGACCCAAGAGGAGUCACACCUUCGGGAUUAGACCCACGCUUUCCUUUGUCCUCUGCUAGACGUGACCCAGCUGUGAAUUGGAAUGAGUUUAUCACCGCUGGACGUCCAAUCCAUGUGAACUAGGAAAGAUGUAUCCAUUCCUCCCACUUCAAUUGGAUUGGACAUCAAGGGCCGUCAGUGGCAGCCAAUGGGUUUGGGCGGUGAAGUUCGUGCGUCAUCCUUCGUGGCUGGGACGGUGUUGCCACGGCGACCGACGCAUGUCUUGACGUCCAAGGCGCCCGCGCUAUCAACUUGUUAUCCUGGUUGGGCGAGAGUGUUCUCCGAUACUACUUGUUUUAGGACAGAGCGCCCUGCUCUUUGUGCUGGAGUGCCCGGGAGAACAGAUUGCAAGAGUUGUUGCGUCAAUCUUGCUCAUGACGCGUUGGGCUUCUGUGAUAAGGUGGCGUUGUGUACCACUAUUCUGCUUCUUUUCAUUAAACUAUGGUGUAAGUGCUAUUUAUUUUAUAUUAGGUGUGUUAGAGUAAUACAAACAGUCCUACAGUAAAUAUGAGAAAUGAUACUAUUCCCUGAUUGAUUAUAUUACGUGUGUUAGAGUAAUUCAAACAGUUAUAUGAUGUGUGCAAGAAAGGUAACUAUUCCCUUCAUUUACUGAAAAGGAAGUGACUCGAGAAUUACCGGUCACUUCCAAUUCAUUUGGGGACAAUGACCCCCAAGACUGGCUGUGAAUGGACGUCUAAUGCCGUCAAUGACAGCCCUUGAGCUAACACAGACACUAUUCUUGUGGAGGAUUUUGGCAGCAAACUGUUAGUCCCUAUUUUUUCCGAACAGUGACACCUUUUUAAAACGAUAUAUCUUUUCUUGGCAGGAGCAUAUCGAUAACCUUUUGGGAUACAAAGUACCGCGAUACAUCAUCAUUUCGAUAAAUUGUCACACCCCUAGUUCUUACUACAGCUAACAUUCUUGAUCAUCUAUCUAUGCCAGCUACUAGAGAUGUCCUGAACGAUCGGCAUCCCGAUCGAUUGGGUCUGGUCACGUCAUUUUCAAAGU